UACGUAGGUCCCAAGCGUUGUCCGGAUUUAUUGGGCGUAAAGCGAGCGCAGGCGGUUUCUUAAGUCUGAUGUGAAAUCCCCCGGCUCAACCGGGGAAGGUCUUUGGAAACUGGGGAACUUGAGUGCAGAAGAGGAGAGUGGAAUUCCAUGUGUAGCGGUGAAAUGCUUAGAUAUAUGGAGGAACACCGUUGGCGAAGGCGACUCUCUGGUCUGUAACUGACGCUGAGGCUCUAAAGCGUGGGGAGCAAACAGG
rnacentral:rRNA from 1 species